UUAUUCGCGAUCACUUGUUGAAGAUUCAUCGAUCACUUGGAGGAGACAAAAAGACAAGUUAAUCGCUGACCAGGCAUUGCGGACGUCGUAGUUCUUGUCAGAGCUGCCAUUCGCGUAUUUACCAAUCCCAUCAGCGAAGUCGAGGAUCGUAGGUCGUGGACCCUUUGGUCGACUAAACAUCGGAAUGUCUUUGUUGGGAUGCCUCAGCAUGUUAGGAAGGUCCUCAUUCCAGAAUUGCAUCUCAGCGGAACGAUAGUGAGAGCCGAGCUUUGGUGGUAUAGCUGCAACGAAAGAAUUUCAUCCCGUGGUCAACGAAGACUUCUUGGUGACUCUACGUAUAUAUCUAUACGUGCACAGGUAUAUAUGUACACAUAUGUUUAUUCUCCAACGUAGCAUACUUACUUAAAUUAAAAUAAGUUUGAUUUCUCGGGUUGUAUUCCAACCAGUCAAGCUCGUACUGUCCCCAUUCUUUUAAUCCGUCGGUCAAAUAUGGAUAUCUCUUGGCUGCGUUCGGGUUUCUAUUUUACGAAUGUAUACAGAAAUAAAAUUUUCUCUUAAUUAA